AAAGAGGAGGGAGAGGAGGAGAAGGAGGGAGAGGAUCUUAUGAUUUGGGGAACAAAAAGGGGAAUUGGUGACUAUAAGAUGCCCUCCUACUAAAGUGCUGCUGCAAUAAAGCAGGGUUAUAAAGGUGCACAUUUAGUAACCUAUCUCCAGUAUGGAUAGGCUAUACCAGUGCUGCAUGGUGAAGGGGAGAACAGAGCAUGGGAUCUCCCUUAUCUUUGCUUUCUGCUCCAGAGCUCACUCAUGCUGAGGAAGAGCUAGAUGAGUGAGGAAAUGAGAAGUAGAGGAUGGAGCAAGUGAAGCACAUGUAAUUCACAGGGGAGAUGCCCAGACUUCGCAACCAGGUGACAUCUUAAUGCAGACUCAAUGCAGAGGAUCCUCAAAUUGGUGCCAGAGAAGCCUGGCUUCGAGACUGAGCUUCAUCCCAUGGAUUGCCACUCAGACACUGCAUGAGGAAGGUGCCAGCUGAACUGAUGAAAGUCUCAACAGCUGGCCAAUGUCAGCUGCAAACAGAGCUGCCUACCGGAUGAGAUACAUGUGCUGUAGUAAUAGGGUAUAGGGAGACCUGUGACAGCUGUAUACAUACACCUGUACUUCACUGUGUGCAGCACCAGCUAUAAAAACAGAUCUUCAAAACCAUCCAACUCCCCUCAGCAAAUCCUGUCUGAAAACUACAGUCCAUUCCUGUCUGUGUGAAUGAUUAAUGCUAUGGACUUGCGCAUACAGACAAGGGCUCAUCAAUUUCUUUAAAUGGUGAUGGUUCUCAAAUGUUUCACCUAAUUUCAAUGAAUUUGCAAACCCCAUUUCAUUUUACUUGAGCCUGUCCCCCAAGGGCUUACGUUGUGCAGUUUCUCUGAAAAUGUGUAUUGCUUUAGAUCUGUGCUUUGUAACUGGCUAACCACCUACUUAGCAAUGUUUGUCAUUUUUUUUUUUUUUAAUAUUCUUAAAUCUUAUCAAAACAUGAGUCCUAAAUAAAAUGCCUUCUGCUAACUACCAGUCAUGAAGUCAUUACUGGAAAGGGCAGCUGGUGGAGGACAGCAAAGCUGAGCUCAAUGCUCCUAUUUGGAGUGGACAGCUUCAUACUUGGUAAUAAAAAAAGUCACUGAGUGUUUAAA